AUAAUUGCUAUGACGCGAGCCCAUGUGAGCGAUACGACCAACCAAGUGGACGUAAAUUGAAAAAGUUCCAUUGUUAUGGAAUUUGUGUCGCAGAGAAAUUGACUGUUCUGUGGAUAUAAGUUAUACCAGCAUGUAUGACACAGACGGGUGUACCACACGCGUCUAUAUGGAUAUAUUACAAAGUUCCAUCGCGAGCAGACGGAUAGGAUCGGCUGGGAUAGGAUUGUCAUAGGAGCGGAAGUAUGCGUGGGUUGGUUUUUAUCGAUCGCACACGCGCGCGAGCGCGCGCCUGUACCUGUACGUGGAUGCACCAACACAAGACGACAAUUGAAACCUGCAUAUGAGAAAUCCUCUAAAUAUCGGACUCUUAUCGAACCUUUAUUGUAUCGUGAUAUUAAAUACAAAUUUCAAAAAAAUAGUUAUCCAAUGCAGAAAAUUGUGACUAGCAUUUGACAAUUAGCAUUAUUCAUUUCAUACAAGUGUGUCAUGAAAUUGUUGGUAAAUGCGUAUAUUUAAAGUGUACAUUACAAUUGGAAAAAUAUUCUUUUUUUCUUUCUUUUUCAUUCACAGCCACUGAAUUAGCAACAAAGGUAUCUAUUAUGUGUACGAAUUACAAGUUUCACUUUGUAUUCUGUCAUUAUAUAUAUAUAUAUAUAUAUAGCAAAACUAAUUGCGUCGUAAUCGUCGCUUUUGAUGGGGAGAGAAAAAGAAGCAAACAAGAAAAGAAGAAAAAAGGAAAAAAGCAAAAAGAAAAAAAAGAAGAAAAAAGAAAAGAAAUAAAA